UACGUAGGGGGCUAGCGUUGUCCGGAAUCAUUGGGCGUAAAGCGCGUGUAGGCGGCCCGGUAAGUCCGCUGUGAAAGUCGGGGGCUCAACCCUCGGAUGCCGGUCGAUACUGCCGGACUAGAGUUCGGAAGAGGCGAGUGGAAUUCCCGGUGUAGCGGUGAAAUGCGCAGAUAUCGGGAGGAACACCAGUGGCGAAGGCGGCCCGCUGGACAUGUAUUGACGCUGAGGUGCGAAAGCGUGGGGAGCAAACAGG
rnacentral:rRNA from 1 species